UUGAGAUGUUACUUGUUAUGUAAGUUCUUUCUUUUUAACACGCUUCAAGAAUUUCUUAAAUUUUCCAUGCAAAACGAUACAGUCCUGGGCGGUAAACUUUCAAUUACAAACUUGUUUUGUACUUUCGUACAAAUUGAUUAGCCGUUACAAAAGAGAAUUAGGUGGAAUUCGCACAACCAACGGUAGUCAGUGGAUUCCCUUGAUAUAGAGCUCGUCACUUGUGUUGUGGAUUGGGCAAUUUCUUUUGUUUCCGACCGCAUUUAUUUCAAUAUUCUUUUACGUGAACGUGUGAAAGUUUAGUGCAAAGUGUUUGUUAAUUAUUAGAUAUUAAAAACAACAAUUUUUGUAUAAAACCAACUAUUAAGAUUCUUGAAGAAAAUAAACAAGUUGCAGGAUUGUUAAUUUAUAUAAAAAUAUAUUUCACAAAGCUAGUUACGUAACGUCUACACGGAGAAAAAAAUAAUGAUGUGCUAAGGGAAGUGAACUAUGCUCAGAUUGCAUUGCAAAGUAAAGGUUUAUGUGUUGAUGAAAUAAUCAUAAAACUAGAAGCACUUCGUCUAUUCAUUGGAGAGAAACGGUUGCAUCUAGCAGGAGAGGCAAUAGAUUUUGCUGUACAAAAAUCGGAAGAAUACAACAUUUCGAUGGAACGACGAAUUCGUCGCAAGAAACGCAUGCCCGGUGAGUUAGCCACCGAUACUGGACUUACACUUAGAGCGGAACUUCAAAAGGACAUGUUAGAAUGUAUUGACAGAUUCAAUAUUGAACUCAAAACACGAGUAAAGUCCAUUAAAGACGUAGCUUCAUUGUUUGAAGUUGUGCAGUCAAAGACCUUGCUUUUGGCAAACACUAAAUAGUUAAAAUUUGCUAUAUCAAAAUUGACUAACCUUUACGAUGAAGUAUCAGAAACAGAACUACUUUUAGAAAUACCAAGAUUGAGAAGACAUUUAAAAGCGGCUAAUAUCACUGUCUCUAAUUGGGUGACGCUGGACUAUUUGAAAUUCAUUGUGGAAUGGGACUUUACAGCUUCUCUUCCGAAUCUAACGGUCGCAUUAAAGUUAUUUAUGACAAUAUGUGCAUCAGUCCUUUAUGUGAGAGAAGUUUCAGCAAAUUAAAUUUAAUUAAAAAUUACUUGCGGUCUUCAAUGACUGAAACCAGAUUAAACAAUCUUGGUAUUUUAACGAUAGAACAUGAAGCAACACAAAAUAUAAAUUUUGAAGACGUGAUUUCGGAGUUUGCAAGUGUCAAAGCUAGAAGGAAGCAAUUUUAAUUUUUUCACAUAAUAUACUAAUAUAAUAUUUGUAAUACUCGUGUUUUAAUAAAAUGUAAAUGAUUGUUUUUUA